ACGCUAGCUAUAGGCUUAACACAUGCAAGUCGAGGGGAAACGGCAUUAUGUGCUUGCACAUUUUGGACGUCGACCGGCGCACGGGUGAGUAUCGCGUAUCCAACCUGCCCUUUACUUGGGGAUACCCCGUUGAAAGACGGCCUAAUACCCGAUGUAAUUCAUUGAUGGCAUCAGAUAUGAAUAAAAGAUUUAUCGGUAAAGGAUGGGGAUGCGUCUGAUUAACUUGUUGGUGAGGUAACGGCUCACCAAGGCGACGAUCAGUAGGGGUUCUGAGAGGAAGGUCCCCCACAUUGGAACUGAGACACGGUCCAAACUCCUACGGGAGGCAGCAGUGAGGAAUAUUGGUCAAUGGGCGCAAGCCUGAACCAGCCAAGUAGCGUGCAGGAAGACGGCCCUAUGGGUUGUAAACUGCUUUUAUACGAGAAUAAUUUGAUGCACGUGUGCGUUAUUGCAUGUAUCGUAUGAAUAAGGACCGGCUAAUUCCGUGCCAGCAGCCGCGGUAAUACGGAAGGUCCAGGCGUUAUCCGGAUUUAUUGGGUUUAAAGGGAGUGUAGGCGGUUUGUUAAGCGUGUUGUGAAAUUUAGGUGCUCAACAUUUAACUUGCAGCGCGAACUGUCAGACUUGAGUACACGCAACGUAUGCGGAAUUCAUGGUGUAGCGGUGAAAUGCUUAGAUAUCAUGAAGAACUCCGAUUGCGAAGGCAGCAUACGGGAGUGUAACUGACGCUUAAGCUCGAAGGUGCGGGUAUCGAACAGGAUUAGAUACCCUGGUAGUCCGCACAGUAAACGAUGGAUGCCCGCUGUUAGCGCCUGGCGUUAGCGGCUAAGCGAAAGCAUUAAGCAUCCCACCUGGGGAGUACGCCGGCAACGGUGAAACUCAAAGGAAUUGACGGGGGCCCGCACAAGCGGA
rnacentral:rRNA from 1 species